AGGAACCUGCUGACACUGCGCAAUGGGCUACUCUUUCCGAUUACCACCAGCAGCAAGAUAUCUUUUAUAUACAGCAUCCCACAGACAGGAUAAUACAUACCACAAUGUUUGUUAUAUCAAUUGUGGAUGACUGGCCGGAUUGAGAAAUAGUCUAAUGGGCCCACCAAUGGGGAUCGAUCCUAGACUGACCACACAUCAGCAGACAGUUUCCUAAUACUAAUCAAGACACCAGAUUGUCAGACUCAUCCAAUCAGUGGCAUCAAAGAGGGUAAUUCUGUGUUCGAGUCACUGCUUCACAACAUAUCAAAAUCAUGAAAGUGUGUGCAGAAAUGAGGUAUGAAGCAUCAUCAUUAAUACUAACACCUGGGAGGACGAGGUGAGAUUCCACAUCACUGGAGUUUGCAGGUAAGAGAAGUCGACCUGGGGGAUCAAUCACUGCCAGAGAGUGACCAGGUAGAACACGGAGACGCCAGGCCAAGUGGAGUUCAACUGGGAGACUGGUGCCCAGAGCCACAACUUUUUACUGUUCCCUACAAUAUUUUUAUCACCUCUAUAUCCGAGGUCAUAGCCCACGGGUUGAAGACAAUGACACUCGGAUGAUCCACCACUGUCAAGUUUCGUGUCAGUUGCUCCGCACUCGUCAACCAUCAACCGCUUAUUAAAGAUGACCUCAGUGCUAUAUAUGCAAGCACAUGUGUACCAAAUUCAAGCAGGUAUAUGACACUAACUGUUCAGCAAGUCAGCAAAUUUUGUUUUCAGCCAAAUUUGUUUUUCCAAUGCCAUUUGAAUAAAAUACAACAGUGUUCCUUAAAUAAGUUAGUUCUCAACUUAGACCUUUGGUGAAUAAGCUCUUCUGUGUUAUAAAAUAUAGUCCACAAACUGAUCUUCAGCUCAUAUUGUAUAAUUUGGUAAGAGGUAACUAAACCCUAUGUAUUCACUUCAUCCAAGUCAUUCACAAUGUACUUGUACUACUUGUAGCUUUUUUCAGUGUUAACUUUAAAAUGCUACUAACUUCCUGCAUAAACAUGUAUGUAUUUUAAGUAGUCCAACAUCAAUUUAGAUCCUUUUUGGUCUAUUUGAUGUAACACUUUCACAAUGGUUAAGCAGUAAGCAUUUUAAUUUUUAGAUAUGUUUUAAAUUUUAAUUUCUGAAACAUAUAUCUUAAUUAAUAAAUUCUUGU